UUUGCACAUAACCUCCUCUGAACCCCAUCUUUCCUGUUUAGGCUUCUCUCCCAACUCGUCGAACCAUCUCGAAACUAAUGGAAUCACCGACGGACAUCACUGGAAUCGAUCUGGCGGGGCAGCCGGUGCUGGCGCCGUCCACCCCAGCGCCUCUCACGCUUCUCAGCCCCACCGCCCACCACCAUGAUGCACCUCCACCUCGACGUCCUCUCCGCCCCCUUGCCCGUCUCCUCCAACGCCGACCUCAACAAGCACGCCGUCGAUGUCGUCCGUCUACGGACGCCUCUCCUGCCUCCUCCGACACAAUAGUUCGAGCGCUCCCAUUACCGCCACCUCCCCGUGCUCCUCGUCAUCCCCUACACCCGUCCUCAUCUCCUUUGUUACCAGCCGCCGCAAGCCGUGCCUCCCACCACCACCACGACCUCCUUCUCGUGGCCAUCUCCUCCGCGUGCUUCCCCGUCUCCCUCGACGCCACCGACGCCAACCUCCACAAGUACGCCACCGGCGAGGUCGUUCCCCGGCGAAUCUCCCCUUCCUCGGGGUCUCCUCCAUCCCUGCCCCGUCUCCUAUAUACUGCAAAAGGAGCACAAGGUUGAGCACACCCACACCUAGGCCAAGGAGGAUGAGCGUGCCGCUGCUGAUGGGACAAGCAGGAGAGAGAAAAUCUUCUCGUUUUCCACCACGCCACCCUCUGUUGGCCACAACAGCUUAGACGAGGACGGCACAUCGCGGAAGUCAGUCGAUUCUUCGGCCUUCGACCCCAACGGUAGCGGCCUUCCGAGAUCGAUCCUCGCCCGUCCAGGUACAAAUUGCUCUGCUUCACCGAUGUCGGUCGCUUCACACACACUAGGUACUCGACAAAAGGCCAGAGUAUGUAUACUGUCUUCUAGGUCUUUCAUAGUAUUAGCCAUUCAGUUUGUAGGUGCAAUUUCCAUAUGAUUGUAUUACAAAAUUACUGCAAACGUUACGGAUUAGCAUCUAAUUCAAAGAUGUAAACAUGGCCAAAUGUCACAACUCACAAGUACCAUUUAUCUUCCUUUUGAAUUAGAAGUUCUAUACAGGUGACAUGACAUGGUUUCAUUCCGUACAUUAUCCUGCCUCUGUUUUCAAGCUAUGUCUUGGAUCACCAUUCCAAGGCAUAUGGGCGCUACAUUUGUGAAACUCUGUCAACCUUACAUAUCUAAUAGCAAAAGGAGGAUAUACACUAUGGAAACUUUUGGACAAUUACAUCAUUGAGCAACAGUCUGUUUAGAACUGAUAAUUGGAUACUUGUCGAAUUUUGCAUCUACAGUCUAGCGAGGCACCUAAUUUUCAGUACGAACAGAUCUUUUGGUGCCUCCCUUUCCAUUGAAUUAUAUGUGGUUGUACACACUUUUUUUUCUUUGCCUGUAUUGUGUAAACUAAAGCACGCGUGCCUCCCUCCGUGCGGCGGCGCCGCGCCGCACCCCGCCGGGCCCUCCUCCCCCCGUGCGGCGGCGCCGCGCCGCGCCGGGGCCUCCCUCUCCUCCCGCCGCCGCCGCCGAGGGCAUCGCAGGCUAAGCCUGCGGGCCGCAACGGUGGCGGCGGCAAUCUUCCUCGGCCGGCGAUCGGAUCUGGGUGGCGGCGACCCACUCCGACCGAUCCAAGGGCGAUGGCGCAGGCCGGUGGCGACCACAGUUGUCGUGCUGGUGGCGGCGACGAAGAGAUCACGUCGGCGGCUAGGGUGUCCGAUCUGGAUCCCAUUCGGAUCUGGAUGGUGGUUCCUCGAGCCGUCGUGCGCAUCCUUUGUUCCGGCGCGGCAAGCGGCCUCUGGAGUAGGCAUGCGACACGAGGACGUCGGGGGCUUCGGCCCUUGGCGUGGAGGUGGUGGCCAUCUUCUUCGCCGGAGGUGGUCGGCUAGAUGGUUGUGGAUUCUCGCAUCUAGUCCCGGCGUACAGUGGGGAGACGGGGCUGCCGGUGAAAACCGUGCUAUGACUCGGGAAUGGCGGGCGAUGGCGGCGUUUCCGCGUCGUUAUCUUGUUGAAGACAUCGCCUCUGCAGCUUCUGUCGACUUGCUUGCGCUGCUCUGGGUGAAAACCUUGAUCCGGAGUUUCCGGAUCGGACGAUGGCGGUGCUUUUGGGGCGUCGUUUUCCCUCAUGGGGGCAUCGUUUUUUGAGCAGCGGCUGGAUGCAGGACCAGAGGACGGAUUCUUUGGUGGAGCGGUGCAGCAUCUCACUCAUUGAUGGCGGCAGGUCUCGGCGGCAUGGCGCUGUGGUGACUCUGCGUCCGAUGCGCGGAGAUGGACUCGCGCAGGAGGGUGACGCGGUCUGGCGUCGUGGUGGCAUCGACGGCAGCUAGACCAGGCAAGGUAGAUGCAGCAGUACAGCUCUGAAGAUGGAUUGGUGGCAGGUGGCUGCGCCGGACUGGUAGGUGACCCAUACCCGGCAGUCGACCUGGAUGGGACCUCAGGUCUUAGAUGUUAGGUUUGGCUGCGAGGUCUGUUUGGUACUAGGCCCAGACUAUCAGCAUCCCUUCAUCUCUUGGAUAGGAAUAGCGACACUUUUGUUGCCUAGACGGUGGCUUCAGUCUUACUGUUGUAUGACUUUGUAAGGUCUUGUGUGAAUAAUUAAUAAAGUGGCUGCAUGCAUCGUCUAGAUGUCUAGAUGAGGCCGGGGGUCCUCCUCCAUUUCAAAAAAAAAAAACUAAAGCACGCGUAGUUGCUCUAGCUGUCAGUAAAUUGCAGUUGCACUUGCGAGCAUCCUGGCGGUGGAGGCAAGCGGCGAUCAGGAUGCUGCUGUAUUGUGCGCUGACGAGGCGGUGGGGCACCGUACAGGGGGCACACGGUGGAGGAGUUCACACAUCGGAUUUCUGAUUGGCGGCUGUUCGAAUGUGGUGUCCAAGGACGAGGGGUAAAGGUGUUAGACUGCUGCCAGGGGAGGCGUAUGGUUCUGUCAGUAUGAUGAGGCAACACGCUGGUCACACUCUCACAUCUUCAGAUCAAACAGAGUGUGGAGGUGGGAUUCACUGCCCUUCGCCUUCUGAUGCUUCGUCAAGGUACAAUAUAAUUCCACCUGGACGCGCAGAUUUGGGUGAAAAAUUUGAAUUUGAGAAAUGACAUGAUAGGCAGAAUGAGGUUUGGGGAAUGAAAGGCAGUAGUUGAGCAGAGCACGUCCAUGUGCAUCACACCAGAACAUACCGCGGAGCGCGUCGGCGGUGAGGAUGAGCAGCGCGCAGCCAGCGGCAUACUUGUGGCGGUCUGGCGUCCGAGGAGACGGGGAGCAUGCAGAUGAGAUGGUGAUGAUGAGGAGGAGGUGGCGACGGUGGGUGGAGGGAUGAUGCAGCAAGGGAGGAAGCGGGGGUGUUGGGGCACAGACAGCGCCGGCUGUUAAUUUUCCGCGACACAACUUACGACGCGUUUGUCGUGUCAAGGCACAUAUGUUUCAUGAGACUAUUGGUUUUAUGAAAUAAAAUCAUAUGCUACCUUUCAUUGGUAAUGCAGUGCACAAUAAAGACCUGAUUUUGUAGCACUAUAUUGUACGCAUUAGAUCUGGUAAGGCUCACCUUGUGUUUUUUUUUAUCUUUUAUUCUUUUGUCCCCCUAAAAAAUUGUUUGGCUUGGACGAAGAGAUUUAUUGAUGGGAAACCAUAUGUUUGAGCGCACCUAUCAAUAAUAUAUUGUCUAUUUGAUCAA